AUGUUAGCAAAUCCCUCGCUUGAUUUUUCUUUCUCCAUUUGUGUAACAGGAAUGAUCCUCAGGAAACAAGGCCAUGGGAGGCACAGGCCCUGUGACGGGCUCUCAGGAGGGAGCUCCCCAGGUUUCAACCCAUCAGCGCCAGAACCGUAUCAUCUUUGCCAAAAUCUGUACCUGCAACAUACCUGUCCUGCGUUCUCCCUUUUACUCUGUAUAACUCCAUUUUGAAACAAAAGCUUGAAUCUAAUUCAUAGAAUCUCUUAGGGUGCAGACACCCUAAGAGAAAGGAAAGCUGGGGAAAGAAGUUUGGGGUUCUCUAUUGAGAAAACAAGAUUUCUCCUGUGCGGAGCCAUGAUAGAUAAUAGGAAGAGACCAUUCGGAAGAUUUUGGGUAGCCACGAAUGCAGAUUUUCAUUGUAUUCAUCAUAAUUAUCUCAUGUGAUCUGGCAACUCAGGACCUAACUGCUCAGCUAUAGACUGAGCACCAAGAAAAUCAAAACUCUUUGAAGGUUCCCUACCUCUGCUUAGCCUCCUCUCUGUGGGGAAAUUCAGGCUGGCUAUUUAGCCAGAGCUGCCUCGAAAGAGAACAAUUACCACAACUUAUGGCAGGGACUUUAUGCUCAGUAGUGCAGAAGCUCCCCAGGCACACUACCAACUGUGACAAAAGAUGUGGAGUCUCAUUGGUGCAGAUUGGAUUCAUCACAAAUUUCCUGGAGGCGUGAUCAAGCAGUAGAGUGCCC
rnacentral:lncRNA from 1 species